AAUAUUGGACAAUGGGCGAAAGCCUGAUCCAGCCAUGCCGCGUGUGUGCAGAAGGUCUUCGGAUUGUAAAGCACUUUAAGUUGGGAGGAGGGGACGUAGGUUAAUACCCUGCAAUUUUGACGUUACCAACAUAACAAGCACCCGCUCACUUAGAGCUAGCCGCCGCGGUAUGACGAAGGGUGCAAGCGUUAAUCGUAAUUACGGGGCGUAAAGCGCGCGUAGGUGGUUCGUUAAGUUGGAAGUGAAAGCCCCGGGCUUAACCUGGGAAUUGCUUUCAAAACUGACGAGCUAGAGUACGGUAGAGGGUAGUGGAAUUUCCUGUGUAGCGGUGAAAUGCGUAGAUAUAGGAAGGAACAUCAGUGGCGAAGGCGACUACCUGGACUGAUACUGACACUGAGGUGCGAAAGCGUGGGGAGCAAACAGG
rnacentral:rRNA from 1 species